CAAUGAAAUGAUGGUCAAAGCUCAUGGAAAUUGUAGGUCUUUUUGGCUUGCAUUUUCAAGAGAUU
rnacentral:sRNA from 1 species